rnacentral:rRNA from 1 species
GGGGGAGCAAGCGUUGUUCGGAUUUACUGGGCGUAAAGGGCGCGUAGGCGGCACUGCAAGUCAGUUGUGAAAUCUCCGGGCUUAACCCGGAAAGGUCAACUGAUACUGCAGGGCUAGAGUGCAGAAGGGGCAACUGGAAUUCUCGGUGUAGCGGUGAAAUGCGUAGAUAUCGAGAGGAACACCUGCGGCGAAGGCGGGUUGCUGGGCUGACACUGACGCUGAGGCGCGAAAGCCAGGGGAGCGAACGGG